UACGUAGGGAGCAAGCGUUGUCCGGAAUCAUUGGGCGUAAAGCGCGCGUAGGUGGCCACAUAAGUCCGUUGUGAAAGUCAAAGGCUCAACCUUUUGAAAGCCGAUGGAUACUGUGUGGCUAGAGUAGCGGAAGAGGCGAGUGGAAUUCCUGGUGUAGCGGUGGAAUGCGCAGAUAUCAGGAGGAACACCAAUAGCGAAGGCAGCUCGCUGGGACGUUACUGACACUGAGGCGCGAAAGCGUGGGGAGCGAACAGG
rnacentral:rRNA from 1 species